AUGCUCGAUUUGGCAACACAUAUACUAAAAUUAGAACAUUACAGAGAAGAUUUGCAUGGCCCCUGUGCAAGGAUGGCACGCAAAUUUGUGAAGCAUUCUAUAUUUUU
ensembl:snRNA U6 U6 spliceosomal RNA